rnacentral:rRNA from 1 species
AUUGAGCGCUGGCGGCAGGCCUAACACAUGCAAGUCGAACGGUAACAGGAAGAAGCUUGCUUCUUUGCUGACGAGUGGCGGACGGGUGAGUAAUGUCUGGGAAACUGCCUGAUGGAGGGGGAUAACUACUGGAAACGGUAGCUAAUACCGCAUAACGUCGCAAGACCAAAGAGGGGGACCUUCGGGCCUCUUGCCAUCGGAUGUGCCCAGAUGGGAUUAGCUAGUAGGUGGGGUAACGGCUCACCUAGGCGACGAUCCCUAGCUGGUCUGAGAGGAUGACCAGCCACACUGGAACUGAGACACGGUCCAGACUCCUACGGGAGGCAGCAGUGGGGAAUAUUGCACAAUGGGCGCAAGCCUGAUGCGGCCAUGCCGCGUGUAUGAAGAAGGCCUUCGGGUUGUAAAGUACUUUCAGCGGGGAGGAAGGGAGUAAAGUUAAUACCUUUGCUCAUUGACGUUACCCGCAGAAGAAGCACCGGCUAACUCCGUG